rnacentral:rRNA from 1 species
UACAGAGGUGGCAAGCGUUGUUCGGAAUUACUGGGCGUAAAGCGCACGUAGGCGGCUUUGUAAGUUAGAGGUGAAAGCCCAGGGCUCAACCCUGGAAUUGCCUUUAAGACUGCAUCGCUUGAACAUCGGAGAGGUAAGUGGAAUUCCGAGUGUAGAGGUGAAAUUCGUAGAUAUUCGGAAGAACACCAGUGGCGAAGGCGACUUACUGGACGAUUGUUGACGCUGAGGUGCGAAAGCGUGGGGAGCAAACAGG